rnacentral:lncRNA from 1 species
ACAAUUUUGGAUGCAAAAAAUGAAAUGGAAGGUCUCUAUUUAUAAACCAAAGGAUGGUUAAAAAAACGAAACGAUCCAUGGAAAAAAUUGAUUACCUAAUAUAUUAGGUCUUAAAUCUAAUCUUUUAGGUACCACAAAUUAUUAAUUAUUUAUGCCCAUUAUUGAAGGUUUUGAUAUAGUGUCAUUAACAUUUAUUAAGACACUAUUAUAAUCGAUUAUAGACUCGUUU